AUGGGCGGAGCCUCCACAGGCCGUAUAAAUCGCCUUUUACUAAAGAUUUCCGAGGAGAGAAACAACUCAGAGUCUUUAGACAAUUUUUUGAGGUCCUGCCUAUGCAGGGCU